rnacentral:rRNA from 1 species
CAGUCGCCGCGGGAAUACAGAGGGUGCGAGCGUUAAUCGGAUUUACUGGGCGUAAAGCGUGCGUAGGCGGCUUCUUAAGUCGGAUGUGAAAUCCCUGAGCUUAACUUAGGAAUUGCAUUCGAUACUGGGAAGCUAGAGUAUGGGAGAGGAUGGUAGAAUUCCAGGUGUAGCGGUGAAAUGCGUAGAGAUCUGGAGGAAUACCGAUGGCGAAGGCAGCCAUCUGGCCUAAUACUGACGCUGAGGUACGAAAGCAUGGGGAGCAAACAGGAUUAGAUACCCCAGUAGUCCCUUCUCUUAUACA